rnacentral:lncRNA from 1 species
CCUGUACAAGCACAACCACAUUUUCUAUCAGUAACUAAUCUCUUGUUCAGAUUGCGUCAAUCAAAACUUUGGAUGCCAAUCCUUCUUUGUAAAAUAUAUGACAAUAAUUUCAGCAGAAAUGCUAGUUCAAAAUGCUGCUAUCUGCGUUCGAAUUAAUUGACCCAAAAGAGUGCUUGUGGCAAUGAUUUUCCGAUCAUCUUAAAAUUCAUAAAAGAAAAUCAAUUGGACUAUAUCUUUUUCCGGGACUUGUCAAAUAAAAAUGUUCAUGUUCAAGUGUUCACAAAAUGGUAGUAUUAAAAUAUCUUCAACAAUUAAAAAUUAAAAUUUUAUUUUGCAAGAAAUAACUUUUCAACAACAAAUUCUCAUUUAAAAAGAAAACUAGUAGUAGUCCCAUAAUUGAUUGGGUUAAAAGUACUUAAUAUACAUAUAGAUCCACCAGUCACACCUGGUUCCACUCAUCAACCAAAAACUUACCAAACAAAACGAGUACAACACCCAAUUCUAAAAGCCUGUUCAGGCGCAUGUAAGCCCCAGCUCAUUCGUGGUGCUAACAUAGGCCACACAACCUCCGGUACUAUUUUUCGUCCGGUACCGAUGACCAACAAAUGUGCUAACAGAUAGAGAAGGAUAAAGAAUUAAGCAUACCGAUAGGAUGGAUAAAGAAUUAACUAUUAAACAUACCGAUAGGAUUGACGUUGCCCCAGUAAGUCUCGACUUGUGGGUGUUGCAGAGGAUCUCCGUACACCUCACUGGUGCUCGUUAGCAAGAACCGCGCACCGAUCCUCUUUGCCAGACCAAGCAUGUUUAACGUACCCACCACAUUUGUCUUGUAAAAUCCCCAGAUCAAUAAAAAAUUAAGGAGUCUAAAAUAAAAUUUGAAUCAUUCUUAAUGCUAACCACCAAAAAAAGCAAUGAACAAAAAAAACAAGAGGAUAUAAUUGUCUUGACAGGGUUAAACUUGUAAUGAACAGGAGAAGCAGGGCAAGCAAGAUGAUAGAUCUGAUCUACUUCCAACAGCAACGGCUCAACGACGUCGUGUCGGAUUAGCUCGAACCUAGGGUUUCCAAAAUGAUGCAUCACAUUCUCCUUCCUCCCCGUGAAGAAAUUAUCCACCACGAUCACGCUAUCCCCUCUCGCAAUCAGACGAUCCACCAGGUGGCUACCAACAAAC